UUAAUUACCUGGCAAGGAAGUCAUGCUAAUGCAGGUGGGUUCCCGGGGCAAGGCUCACCCAUUGUACCGGGAUGUGCUGACCCCUAUGAUUUCCACAAAUGUGGGAAGCUCAGCUGCAUAAUUUGUAUUAGUGUGUGGGGGGGGGCUGCUUUCAUACUCC